rnacentral:lncRNA from 1 species
UUCUUUAUGUUAUUUUGCAUAUGUAGCUUGAUUUCUUCAUUUAUCUUAUUAUCUCUCUUAUUUUUGUUGGUUAUUCUCCUAUUUUUUUAUUUUUUUAUUUUUGUACUUGCUAAAAGUCAAUAAUACGUGACAACCCCUAGUGGUUAAAGACUUUUAGAGGCUUUUAGGGUUUAUUGUAGUAGGGUUUAUAGCUAGCUCACAUAGGCAGGUGAGAAGGUUCCACUACUAUAAAUAAUAUAUGUCAUGUCGGACACAAAAUAGAUUUCAC